rnacentral:miRNA from 1 species
GACAUUCAUACCCUAUGAGUGAGUCUCGGGGGUCUCAGGAGAGAGUCAGGGGCAAGUAGACACCCCAGGUCUCUAAAGAUCUGUGAUGUCCUGUUUCUCCUGGCUCUCCUCUCUCCCAAGGUUUUCUCAAC